AAUGUAAACUAUCUUAUGUUUUCCAACACCCCCCUUCGAGAUUUCAUAUGGAAUAACCCAAUUCGACAUCCGGGGCCUUGCCCUCAGCACGCUCUCUUUCCCGUUCCACCAUCUUGGCAAGCCAUCUGCAGUCAAGAUGAGGGCCAAGUGGAAGAAGAAGCGUAUGCGAAGGCUGAAGAGAAAAAGGAGAAAGAUGAGGGCCAGGUCCAAGUAGGCACCACCUGCCACCAUCCCGGCUUCACAGAUGGACCUGUCCGAUGCAGACUGGAUCAACACUGAACAUCUGAGGAGACCUCCAGUAUCCAGCCUUCCUGUGGUUGCAGUGACACUACUUCACCAAGCAGACGUUCGGAUGGACUUGGGAUUGCUACAAUGCAACACGGGUUCCUGUCUGAAUCUUGGGAGCAGAAAAGAACUGACUCUCUCUAGAUUGAAAACACGAACUGUGUUCUCCCGUUGAAGAGCUGAACAUGUUACGAUUGUGUCUCUUGUUAGUCGUUCUGCUUUGGACAGAUGUACACCUGUGAAUGCCUGACCUCGCUUACAGCUACUUGUAAACCCUUUUCAGCAAAACCUACUUCUUCUUUCAAAGUGAUCUUGAAUAAAGACUUCUGUUUUGCUGAA